rnacentral:rRNA from 1 species
UACGAAGGGUGCAAACGUUGCUCGGAAUUAUUGGGCGUAAAGCGCACGUAGGCGGCUUAGCAAGUCGGAAGUGAAAGCCCUCGGCUCAACCAAGGAAGUGCUUUCGAAACUGCUGAGCUUGAGUACUUAAGAGGAUCGCGGAAUUCCCGGUGUAGAGGUGAAAUUCGUAGAUAUCAGGAGGAACACCUGCGGUGUAGACGGCUUUCUGGACCAUUGUUGACGCUGAGACACGAAAGCGUGGGUAGCAAACAGG